CCUACGGGUGGCAGCAGUGGGGAAUAUUGCACAAUGGGGGAAACCCUGAUGCAGCAACGCCGCGUGGGUGAAGAAGUAUUUCGGUAUGUAAAGCUCUAUUAGCAGGGAAGAGAAUGACGGUACCUGACUAUGAAGCUCCGGCUAACUACGUGCCAGCAGCCGCGGUAAUACGUAGGGGGCAAGCGUUAUCCGGAUUUACUGGGUGUAAAGGGAGCGUAGACGGUUGUGCAAGUCUGAGGUGAAAGCCCGCGGCUCAACUGCGGAACGGCUUUGGAAACUGUGUAACUGGAGUGCAGGAGAGGUAAGCGGAAUUCCUGGUGUAGCGGUGAAAUGCGUAGAGAUCAGGAGGAACACCGGCGGCGAAGGCGGCUUACUGGACAGUAACUGACGUUGAGGCUCGAAAGCGUGGGGAGCAAACAGGAUUAGAUACCCCGGUAGUC
rnacentral:rRNA from 1 species